AUGCUUGACCUUAUCCACUAUGGGCAAACGGGGUUCAUCCGAGGCAGGGGCAUUGCGGAAAAUUUCCUGCUUGCAGCGGACAUUGUUCAGACUUGCCACAAACGUAAGGUCCCAGCCAUUGUUUUAAAAUUAGACUUCCAAAAGGCGUUUGACUCAGUUUCUUGGGACGCCUUAACUACCAUUCUUCACGCCAAGGGCUUCCCUUUGCUUUGGGAGCGUUGGAUCUCAUGUCUCAACAUGUCCAGCACAUCAGCAAUUCUGCUAAAUGGUAAACUGGGCCCUUGGUUCAAUUGCAAGAAAGGCUUGUGACAGGGUGACUCGUUAUCUCCUUAUCAUUUCAUCAUUGUCGCCGAUGUUUUGCAACGCUUGAUCAUCCAGGACUUCGAUUCGGGUCAGCUCACUCACCCGCUCGAUGACUCUCUCCCCUGUCUGGUUCUCCAAUACGCAGGGCGACACCUUGAUUGUUCUCCCGGCCAUCGAGGAGCAGCUAAACCACCUAAAACGCAUUCUUGGUCAAUUCUCUGA
rnacentral:rRNA from 1 species